AAAGAUUUUAAAAGAUGAGUUCUUGCCAAACUUAGAAAUCAAAUCAAGUACUUAGAUAGUGUCACCAAUCAUACGAGCCUGGCCAAGGCCUUCAAUAGCGAUGAAAAUGUCUUCACCUGGGGCAGAGCCAAAUGACAGGGGCAUUUCGUUGAGUAGUUGCUUAAAGACGUCAAAACGAUGGAAAUUACAGAGCUUGUGAAUCAGAGCUCCGUAGGUAGAGUUGGAAUGGGUGAAGUUGAGGAGGUUUGAGGCCCAUUUGAAGGUUUGGAG
rnacentral:misc_RNA from 1 species